CCCCCUCCAUUUCUUCACCAUAAUUUUGUUUAUGUAGUCUAGCUAAAUCUAUUUUUGCAUUAUUCCCACAACUCCCUACUUCAUGCAUGUUCCAUGUCAUCCAUUUUUAAUAAACCUGAAAAUAAAAUUUUUAGUCUGUCAAUAUCAACUGAUGUUUGACAAAAAAUAUACCAAUUCUAUGUUUUUUUUUUAUCAACAAAUCAAAAACAUGUCAUAUCAAUAUUGUACAUCCUGGCUAAUUCAUAUUUUUGCAGAGAAUCCCUCUCUCAUACAGAAUAAUUCGAACACUAUACUAACAAACAUGUUUUCUAGUCUAGUAAACAUACAAAGGGAGAAAAUGGAAAAAAGAGAAAUACAGCAAGUGCAGAUCUAAGUGGUUGAAAAACACUUCAUGAAUCAUGACAAUUUAUCAGAACGUACAUCCUGGCUAAUUUUGUCAAUAUCAAUAUUGUGUUUCUAAGCAGAAAAUAAGAUGGCUUGGACAAUAACAACCUUCAUAAGACUUUCAACAACAUAAAGGACAGUUCAACAGUUGGAAGCCUUCAAAUAUGGCAAGUAUGAAAUCCAAGACAUUAAUCUUGCCAAGCAGUAAAUGACAAACUCAAACAAGCUUAUAAAGCAAUAAAAAUAAAUAAUCUCAGAAGGAACUGAGAAAAUUUUAAACCCAGCUGGUGUUUCUCAGUUUUUUUUUUAGUUUCAAAUUUGACUCACUCACAUUAUCAUUACAUUAGUUAUUCAAGGUGCACCAAGUAGUUGAAAGUUAAUGCGAACUAAUAUAAUGAUGACAGAUAGAAAAUGAGACCCAAAGGCAAAAAGGCUUGAUGAAUGGACAUAACAACUAAAACAAGUGUGCAUGAAAAGAUGAUAAUCACUUUAAUAGCACAAUCUUCAUUCAAUUCAAGCUAAAAUUGUUCCCCUAAAAACUAGUAGGACAAAUUUGAGUAUAGAGUAUGUUCAUAUAGUAAUGUAAUGGUUUGGAGUUGUGUAUUUUUUUAUCGACAAAUCAAAAACAUGUCAUAGAAAUUCUCAUAAGGGUACUAUCCCCCUAUUUCAGACCAAAGAAAAAUGAAGAAUCACCCUAAAGAACCCCAAAUACCAAAUAGACAUAAAAGGGUUACAUAAAACCUAGAAAUCUUCACAAAAUACAGUUAAUCUAGACAAAAUACAGUUAAUCUAGGAAAAUAACGAAGGGUUUACCGAAUUGAAGCCGAGAUCAAGGAGGUAGAUGUCGAUUUUUGGUCUCCGUGAGGGGUAUACUGAUUUUGCUAGGUUGCUUGAAUCUGAAAUAGGGGAAAUCGAUU
rnacentral:lncRNA from 1 species